CUCCAGGCUCCACCUGUGCCCCAUUCCCACUCCAGCUCCUGGGGAGGCCUAUGCUUCCUAACCCCACUGCCAGCUUUUCAGACGAAUUCAGGAAGCCUCCUACAGCCCCUCCUAACAGUCGUGAGCAACAGUGCAAGUGAGAAAAAUGGACAAGCAGACCAUGAACGUCCAGCAUGAAAGGAAGGCAGUUCCAACACAGGCUACAGCCUGGAUGAAGCCUGAGGCCAUUAUGCUCAGUGACAUAAGCCAGAUACAGGAGAACAAAUGAUGUUUGAGUCCACUCAUAGAAGGUCCCUAGAGCAGUCGGCUCCCUAGACACGGAAAACAGGAUG
ensembl:lncRNA